CUCGGAGAAGCUCCCGUCGCCUGGCAACCAGCGCCGCCCAGUCGCAUCCGGGGCGCUUAGAGGACUUCCGGUGUGGCCUCCGGCCUGGUGCUGGUUGUCGUGCGCCUGCGCGGGCGAUGGGGUUGCUGUGUAGUUGAUGUUAGCGACCUGCCAUCCUUGUCACCCCCAGCGCUCUCCCUUCAUCCCCGCCGCUGUGCUACAACACCACGCUACCAGCAUGCAUCAGGUGUCAGUAUGAGCUAAAGUAUGAAGCCCCUUCCAAAAAAAAAAAAAAAAAAAACGGUCUCAAGAAUUCUGUGUUUUCCCUCUAAUCGCUCCACCCGACCCAGGCUUGAAAGGAAAAGUCGCUUGUUGCAUUUGGUAGGCUGGCACCAUCGGACAAAUAAAAACGCAGUGCAGAUGU